CCGUUGUAGUCAAAUUCAUAUAUGUUUCACGAUACUUAGACCGAGUAUUAUGUGAAGAAAUGAAGGAACAUUAUUCAGCAAUUUUUCCAGAUUUACCUGAAAGUCACGAACUACCCCUUAACAAUUUCAUAGUAGCCAAUAUCGUUACUCUUUCUCUCUUUUUUCCCUUCAUCUUCAACCCAGAGAACCUAGGUUGACUUUCUCUGACGGCUGGUUUCCAAUCCGAAAGAUCAAAAUUAACAUUCCUAGAUUGAGUUUCCUCUUGAAUCUGAUCUGGAAAAAAGAGAGAAGACGGGCUGUUCAGGUUUCUUUGUCAGGCUUUUACACUGCCUGCAUCUUAAGGGCUUUAAUCUCUCUCGAUCGAUCAAUCGAUAUAAAAAUAUAUAGCAAGGGACCGAGAAGGUUGUAGCUUGACGUCUUUGUUGACAUUCUCAUCUGACUAUAUUAAUCUUUCCAAGCCCAACAAAAUAAGGAGAAAAAGAUGGCAGUAAAAGGAUCUAUGGAGUCUCUUCCCUCUGAUAUCCUUCUAGAUAUCACUUCUCGGGUUCCAGCCGAAUCUAGAUAUCACUUCUCGGGUUCCAGCCGAAUCUGUAUUGGAGUGCAAAUUAGUUUGUAAAACGUUGGGAACUCUCAUCCGUGACAGCAGAAGCAACCUUGCCAUUAUGCACCUCAGGCGCCAGCUUAACCAUAUGUAUGACAGUGACGAUGUCAAUGAUAAUAUAGUUGCUGCUAAAGUGGAGCCGUGUCUCUUUUUUGCUUGUCGCAUUGACGAUCCCGAUUAAUUCAGAAGUUUACUUUUCCAUGGAGGACAAUUAAGUGAUAGGAUCAGCGUUGAUUGGAAAUACAUUUACCAUCAAAAUCUGAAAAGGAUCUAUCAUCCUCCUUUGCACACUGACCGUUUAACUGAGCACUUAGUUGGCUCCUGCAAUGGCUUGGUUUGUGCAUUUCAACACCAGCAUUUAGUUAUAGAUCCCAUCUAUAUUUGUAAUCCCCUUACCAGAGAAUAUGUUCAUCUUCCUGCACUAGUCGUAAGCAAAGAAGGCGUUAAUCCUAAUCGCAUAGUGGGAGGAGAUGUUAACAUGUUUAAUGAUACAGCAUGUGGAUUUGGGUAUGUUAGGUCAACCAAUGAGUACAAGGUUGUUAGAAUCUAUUACCUCGGCAGCACGGAGGGAAAUGUUGAGGUAUAUACACUUGGCAGUGGUUAUGGGUGGAGAGCGGUAGGCAAAGUUUCUUAUCAACUUUUGGGGUUGUCAAGCGCGGGUAAGGGUACCUACGCAAACGAUGCUAUUUAUUGGCUUUCGUAUAACAAUGUUGUGGCCUUUGACUUGGCUGAUGAGGAGUUUCGGUUGCUGUCCGUCCCUCCUUGUAUGCUAAACCGUAAGCCUGGAGAUAGAUGUGGACUUGUAACACUGGGAAGGCAUUUGUGUGUUUACAUGGAUAAGAAGUUACGUAUGGAAAUCUGGUCCAUGAAGAGAAGUAGCGACUCUAAGGAGACCUGGUCUAUGGAGUUCUAAGGCCCUAGUCAAAGUAGUUUCCGGCCGAUAUUACUUACAAAGAAGGGAGAAAUCAUAUUCUUAUAUAUGCUAGAUCUGUGUUAUAUUCUUAUGACACGAAAACAACAUUAUUGAAGAAGAUUUCCAACAAAGCAUCAACGGAUCAUUUUGAAGCUGUCGAACCAAUUGCUCACGUAAAUACCUUUGUAUCAUUGGAAGCCAUGGGAGAAAAUUCAAAGAGAUACACAGUUCGCAGUCCAUGGGACGAUGUUAUUGAUGGGUUAGACCGCGUUGCAGUUGCUGAGGAAAUUGAUACAACGCGUUGCAGACUCAGGUGAUCAGCAAUAUCAUAAUGACGUCUCCUCCCAACUGUGACUUACGAUCAAUAAUAUGACUUAUGAUCAAUAAUAUUGAUAGACAGUAUAAUCACAUGAAGAUUGGAAAUUGAAAACAAUAGAUGAAUGAAAUCGAAAGUUAGGGAUUAAGGUGAUGUUCUGAGAUGAAUCGAGAUCUUUCUGUUUGUUAUUUCCGAAAGAUGUAUGAAUGGUUUUUUUUUUUAAUUA